rnacentral:ncRNA from 1 species
CACCUGGUUGAUCCUGCCAGUAGUCAUAUGCUUGUCUCAAAGAUUAAGCCAUGCAUGUCUAAGUAUAAGCUUUAAACGGCGAAACUGCGAAUGGCUCAUUAAAACAGUUAUAGUUUAUUUGGUGAUCGAUUACUAUUUGGAUAACCGUAGUAAUUCUAGAGCUAAUACAUGCGUCAAGGCCCGACUUCGGAAGGGCUGCGUUUAUUAGAUACAGAACCAACCUAGGCUCCGCCUAGUCCUUGUUGGUGAUUCAUAAUAACCCGGCGAAUCGCACGGCUUGUCCGGCGAUGGACCAUUCAAGUUUCUGACCUAUCAGCUAUGGACGGUAGGGUAUUGGCCUACCGUGGCGUUGACGGGUAACGGGGAAUUAGGGUCGAUUCCGGAGAGGGAGCCUGAGAACGCUACCACAUCUAAGAGCAGCAGCGCGCAAUUACCAAUCUGAUACAGGGAGUAGUGACAGAAA